CUAAGGUCCCAAAGUGUGUGUUAAGUGGAAAAGGAUGUGGGAUUUCAAAGACAACCAGGAUGUUGGCUUAGAAGCAGCCAUACAUUAAAAGAGUGCGUAAUAGCUCACUGGUCGAGAGGUCCUGCGCCGAAAAUGUCCGGGGCUGAAACACACCACCGAAGCUUGGGAAUUGAUCUGAUCAAUUGGUAGAGGAGCAUUGCAUACGGGAAGAAGCAGUACCGGAAGGAGCUGUGGACUGUAUGGAAGAGAGAAUGCCGGAAUGAGUAGCGAGAGGAAGGUGAGAAUCCUUCCGGCCGAAUAUCUAAGGUUUCCAGAGUAAAGCUGAUCUGCUCUGGGUAAGUCGGGGCCUAAGGCGAGGUCGAAAGACGUAGUCGAUGGAUAACAGGUUGAAAUUCCUGUACUAUCCUGUAACAGAACUGUGGGGACGCAGACAGAGAGCACAAGCCGGGAAUGGAAAGACCGGUGCAAGCGAGGUAGGAGUACAUCAGGCAAAUCCGGUGUGCAAUCCGAAGACGUGAUGCGGAUCGAAAAGAAGUAGAGAAGUGUGUGAGCUGGCUGCCAAGAAAAGCCGCUAUUGUUUACAGGAUACCCGUACCGUAAACCGACACAGGUGGAUGAGGAGAGAAUCCUAAGGCCGACGGGAGAAGCAUUGUUAAGGAACUCGGCAAAAUGACCCCGUAACUUCGGGAUAAGGGGUGCCAGAGAGAUCUGGCCGCAGAGAAUAGGCUCAAGCAACUGUUUAGCAAAAACACAGGUCUAUGCGAAACCGAAAGGUGAGGUAUAUGGGCUGACGCCUGCCCGGUGCUGGAAGGUUAAGGGGAGAGGUUAGCGCAAGCGAAGCUUUGAACUUAAGCCCCAGUAAACGGCGGCCGUAACUAUAACGGUCCUAAGGUAGCGAAAUUCCUUGUCGGGUAAGUUCCGACCCGCACGAAAGGCGUAAUGAUUUGGGCACUGUCUCAACAAUGCACCCGGUGAAAUUGAAAUACCAGUGAAGAUGCUGGUUACCUGCGCCAGGACGGAAAGACCCCAUGGAGCUUUACUCUAGCUUGAUACUGGGAUUCGAUAUUGCAUGUACAGGAUAGGUGGGAGACUAGGAAGUGGUGACGCCAGUUGCCAUGGAGUCAAUGUUGGGAUACCACCCUUGCAGUAUUGGGUUUCUAACCAGCAGCCGUGAUCCGGCUGGGGGACAAUGUCAGGUGGGGAGUUUGACUGGGGCGGUCGCCUCCGAAAGGGUAUCGGAGGCGCUCAAAGGUUCCCUCAGAAUGGUCGGAAACCAUUCGAAGAGUGCAAAGGCAGAAGGGAGCUUGACUGCGACACCGACGGGUGGAGCAGGUACGAAAGUAGGACUUAGUGAUCCGGUGGUAUAAAGUGGGAUUGCCAUCGCUCAACGGAUAAAAGCUACCCUGGGGAUAACAGGCUUAUCACUCCCAAGAGUUCACAUCGACGGAGUGGUUUGGCACCUCGAUGUCGGCUCAUCGCAUCCUGGGGCUGUAGUAGGUCCCAAGGGUUGGGCUGUUCGCCCAUUAAAGCGGUACGCGAGCUGGGUUCAGAACGUCGUGAGACAGUUCGGUCCCUAUCCGGCGUGGGCGUAGGAUAUUUGAGAGGAGCUGCCCUUAGUACGAGAGGACCGGGGUGGACUGGCCGCUGGUGUAUCUGUUGUAUUACCAAGUGCAUAGCAGAGUAGCCAAGCCGGGAAGGGAUAAACGCUGAAGGCAUCUAAGCGUGAAGCCCCCCUCAAGAUGAGAUAUCCCUACGAAAGUAGUAAGACCCCUUGAAGACGACGAGGUAGAUAGGGCAGAGGUGGAAGUGUGGUAACACAUGGAGCUGACUGUUACUAAUCGGUCGAGGGCAUAACCAA
rnacentral:rRNA from 1 species